AAGACUAUACUUCACAGGAUCAUUUCUGUAGUUGGUCUUCCAAUACUCUGUUUUAAACACAGAGCAUUUGCAACCAUGAUGAGGAGUCAUAGCUUCACAUCCUGAGCGUGAGACAGGCUGUUGGUUCACUUGUUUUGGCAAUGAACCUUCAACCAACGAUGAUCGUUCACCUGGCGGCGUUGACCAAAGGGGGGAUGGAUGUGACGCAUUCUGAGUGGU